CCUACGGGUGGCAGCAGUGAGGAAUAUUGGUCAAUGGACGCAAGUCUGAACCAGCCAUGCCGCGUGCAGGAAGACGGCUCUAUGAGUUGUAAACUGCUUUUGUACGAGGGUAAUCGCAGAUACGCGUAUCUGCCUGAAAGUAUCGUACGAAUAAGGAUCGGCUAACUCCGUGCCAGCAGCCGCGGUAAUACGGAGGAUUCAAGCGUUAUCCGGAUUUAUUGGGUUUAAAGGGUGCGUAGGCGGUUGGAUAAGUUAGAGGUGAAAUCCCGAGGCUCAACUUCGGAAUUGCCUCUAAUACUGUACGGCUAGAGAAUAGAUGCGGUAGGCGGAAUGUAUGGUGUAGCGGUGAAAUGCUUAGAGAUCAUACAGAACACCGAUUGCGAAGGCAGCUUACCAAGCUACUUCUGACGUUGAGGCACGAAAGCGUGGGGAGCAAACAGGAUUAGAUACCCGAGUAGUC
rnacentral:rRNA from 1 species